UCUGAAACGAUUUGCGUUUGAGCCUGUUUGAUUGGCGGACUGGGACUGGUAUGGGCGGUCUUAAUGAUGGCGGUCCUGACGGCGGCGCGUUCAUGAAAAAUGUGUGAAACGAAAAUAUUUUGAAGAAUGUGGUUAACCAAACAGUUAAUUCAUAGUAUGGAGGGGAAGAACGAAAGCAGAAGCAGAAGAACGAAAUUUAUACAGGUUUGGAAGAACUUGAAGUAAUUGCAGUCGACCACCAAUAGAGGACGCCCUACACCAUGACAACACUGACAUGUAUCCUUUCUAAAUUCAGCUAAAGUGCAACAGGAAAUACAAGAAACUCUUUUAAGACUCUGCAAAAAAAAAAAAAAUUUUGGUAGUUAAUUUAAUAUCAUAGAAUAAUAAUAUUCUCUUGUUGUAAAAUCAAGAUCUGUCGCAAUAUCUUUACAGCACGUUCAGGGAAGUUAAAAGGGUGGCUCCAAAACCACUUCCUCUGAUGAGCACAAAAUGUUCCUCUGGUCUCAUGAGGCUGUUGUGGUUCCAAACUUGAAAGGUCUUAAGGUCACGAAAGCACACCCUAGGCUCAGUCCUGGAGAAAAGUAAACCGAUAAAUCCUGUGUGGUGCAUCUGGUGUGCUGAUCAAUGUUAAAGAAAUAAGGGUAAAGUAGUGUAAACUUGCAUAAUGACUACAUACUUUUUUCUUUUUGUUUUUCAGGAAAAACAAAUGCACCAAU